CUCACUGAAUUUAAAAGACGAGAAGCCCCUUAAUCUGCCCACUGAUUAAUUUAUUUUUUAAUUAAUAAUAUUUAUAUAAAAUUUUAAUGUAAUAAAUAAUAAUGCCCGGUUUUACCCAAAACAGGUCUUUUUGAGUUUAAUUUAAAGUUUAAUCUGCCCACUGAUUAAUUAUUAAAGGGGAGCAGAAAUUGGACUGUACAAAGGUAGCAUAAUCAUUAGUCUUUUAUUUGAAGGCUUGUCAGAAGGAUUUGAUAAAAUUGGAACGGUCUUUAAGUUAUAAUUAAAAUUUAAUUUUUAGUUAAAAAGCUAAAAUAAAUUUAAAAGACGAGAAGCCCCUAUAGAGUUUUAUAUUUUUUAAUUAAUAAUAUUUAUAUAAAAUUUUAAUGUAAUAAAUAAUAAAUUAUUUUAUGGGGGGGAUAAAAAAACUAAUAAUCGCCUGUCUUCAAUAUCAAUUAGAACGAAUAUACGAUCCGAAAGCAUGAGUGGGUUGUCUCUAUAUA
rnacentral:rRNA from 1 species